rnacentral:lncRNA from 1 species
AUUAGCCCUAUUAGUGUCCUAUUUUUGAAGACAUCACUCCAUCUCCAUCUCUCUGUGUCCAUUGGCUCUCUCAUCUCUCAUCUCCAUCUCUCUGUGUCCAUUGGCUCUCUCAUCUCCAUCUCUCUCUGUCCAUUGGCUCUCUCAUCUGUCAUCUCCAUCUCCCUGUCUAUUGGCUCUCUCAUCUCCAUCUCUCUGUGUCCAUUGGCUCUCUCAUCUCCAUCUCUCUCUGUCCAUUGGCUCUCCCAUCUCUCAUCUCCAUCUCUCUGUCCAUUGGCUCUCUCAUCUCCAUCUCUUUGUGUCCAUUGGCUCUCUCAUCUCCAUCUCUCUGUGUCCAUUGGCUCUCUCAUCUCCAUCUCUCUCUGUUCAUUGGCUCUCUCAUCUCCAUCUCUCUGUGUCCAUUGGCUCUCUCAUCUCUCAUCUCCAUCUCUCUCUGUCCAUUGGCUCUCUCAUCUCCAUCUCUUUGUGUCCAUUGACUCUCUCAUCUCCAUCUCUCUGUGUCCAUUGGCUCUCUCAUCUCCAUCUCUCUGUGUCCAUUGGCUCUCUCAUCUCUCAUCUCCAUCUCUCUCUGUUCAUUGGCUCUCUCAUCUCCAUCUCUUUGUGUCCAUUGGCUCUCUCAUCUCCAUCUCUCUGUGUCCAUUGGCUCUCUCAUCUCCAUCUCUCUCUGUGUCCAUUGGCUCUCUCAUCUCUCAUCUCCAUCUCUUUGUGUCCAUUGGCUCUCUCAUCUCUCAUCUCCAUCUCUCUCUGUCCAUUGGCUCUCUCAUCUCCAUCUCUCUCUGUUCAUUGGCUCUCUCAUCUCCAUCUCUUUGUGUCCAUUGGCUCUCUCAUCUCCAUCUCUCUGUGUCCAUUGGCUCUCUCAUCUCCAUCUCUCUGUGUCCAUUGGCUCUCUCAUCUCUCAUCUCCAUCUCUCUCUGUUCAUUGGCUCUCUCAUCUCCAUCUCUUUGUGUCCAUUGGCUCUCUCAUCUCCAUCUCUCUGUGUCCAUUGGCUCUCUCAUCUCCAUCUCUCUCUGUGUCCAUUGGCUCUCUCAUCUCUCAUCUCCAUCUCUUUGUGUCCAUUGGCUCUCUCAUCUCCAUCUCUCUGUGUCCAUUGGCUCUCCCAUCUCUCAUCUCCAUCUCUCUGUGUCCAUUGGCUCUCUCAUCUCUAUCUCUCUGUGUCCAUUGGCUCUCUCAUCUCCAUCUCUCUGUGUCCAUUGGCUCUCUCAUCUCCAUCUCUCUGUGUCCAUUGGCUCUCCCAUCUCUCAUUUCCAUCUCUCUGUGUCCAUUGGCUCUCUCAUCUCCAUCUCUCUGUGUCCAUUGGCUCUCCCAUCUCUCAUCUCCAUCUCUCUGUGUCCAUUGGCUCUCUCAUCUCCAUCUCUCUCUGUCUAUUGGCUCUCAUCUGCACA